UACAGAGGGUGCGAGCGUUGUUCGGAAUUACUGGGCGUAAAGCGCGCGCAGGCGGCCUUUUAAGUCUACCCGUGAAAUGCCGGGGCUCGACUCCGUGCACGCCGGGGGAUACUGGGAGGCUGGAGACAGGUAGAGGCAAGCGGAAUUCCGGGUGUAGCGGUGGAAUGCGUAGAGAUCCGGAAGAACACCUGAGGCGAAGGCGGCUUGCUGGGCCUGGUCUGACGCUGAGGCGCGAAAGCGUGGGGAGCAAACAGG
rnacentral:rRNA from 1 species